GAUGAACGCUGGCGGCGUGCCUAAUACAUGCAAGUCGAGCGAACGGACGAGAAGCUUGCUUUUCUGAUGUUAGCGGCGGACGGGUGAGUAACACGUGGAUAACCUACCUAUAAGACUGGGAUAACUUCGGGAAACCGGAGCUAAUACCGGAUAAUAUUUUGAACCGCAUGGUUCAAAAGUGAAAGACGGUCUUGCUGUCACUUAUAGAUGGAUCCGCGCCGCAUUAGCUAGUUGGUAAGGUAACGGCUUACCAAGGCAACGAUGCAUAGCCGACCUGAGAGGGUGAUCGGCCACACUGGAACUGAGACACGGUCCAGACUCCUACGGGAGGCAGCAGUAGGGAAUCUUCCGCAAUGGGCGAAAGCCUGACGGAGCAACGCCGCGUGAGUGAUGAAGGUCUUCGGAUCGUAAAACUCUGUUAUUAGGGAAGAACAUAUGUGUAAGUAACUGUGCACAUCUUGACGGUACCUAAUCAGAAAGCCACGGUUAACUACGUG
rnacentral:rRNA from 1 species